rnacentral:rRNA from 1 species
AUGGCUGUGGUGAUAUUACUUGUCACACACUUCUCUACUCGUAUACAUUUAACUAGUACUCCAGUUUAUCAUAUCCUUUGCCUCCUCAAACCUCUAUCUUUUGCCAAAAUCUUUGACCGUGCUUUGCACGUGGUGUUGUCUUGGCCUCUCCGGGAUCGGGAAUUCAGGAUAAGAUGCAUCAGCUUGGAAGAGCUGGCCGCGGUGACUCGCUCCCUCGGCCUCGAUCCGACCAACCAAGAGCUCAAUGACAUGAUGCGUGAAGUCGACAUGGAUGGAAAUGGCACCAUUGAUUUCCAGGAGUUCUUGAGCCUCAUUGCCAGGAAGAUGCAGGAUGGAGAUGGAGAUGAAGAGCUCAAGGAAGCUUUCGAGGUCCUGGACAAGGAUCGGAAUGGUUUUAUCUCCCCUGUUGAGCUGAGGACGGUGAUGAUCAAUCUCGGGGAGAAGAUGACCGACGAGGAGGUUGAGCAGAUGAUCAGGGAGGCGGACACUGAUGGCGACGGGCAGGUGAACUACGACGAAUUCGUGCUCAUGAUGAAGAAUGCCGAGCGCAAGAUAACUGGGUGA